AUUGAACGCUGGCGGCAGGCUUAACACAUGCAAGUCGAGCGGGGUGAUGGUGCUUGCACUAUCACUUAGCGGCGGACGGGUGAGUAAUGCUUAGGAAUCUGCCUAUUAGUGGGGGACAACAUCUCGAAAGGGAUACUAAUACCGCAUACGUCCUACGGGAGAAAGCAGGGGAUCACUAGUGACGUUGCGGUAAUAGAGGAGCCUAAGUCGGAUUAGCUAGUUGGUGGGGUAAAGGCCUACCAAGGCGACGAGCUGUAGCGGGUCUGAGAGGAUGAACCGCCACACUGGGACUGAGACACGGCCCAGACUCCUACGGGAGGCAGCAGUUGGGAAUAUUGGACAAUGGGGGGAACCCUGAUCCAGCCAUGCCGCGUGUGUGAAGAAGGCCUUAUGGUUGUAAAGCACUUUAAGCGAGGAGGAGGCUCUUUUGGUUAAUACCCAAGAUGAGUGGACGUUACUCGCAGAAUAAGCACCGGCUAACUCUGUGCCAGCCGCCGCAGUAA
rnacentral:rRNA from 1 species